CGAGUGGGCAGGCGAGGGGCGAGAGGGGUUGGGACGCUAAGGGUUAAGUCCCAACCCGGGCAAUGGAAAGGACUCGCGAGUUCGCCGCCUGGGUGGAAUUCUAGCCUCCCAGGGCGGCCGCCAGCCCCCGCCGCCUGAGCUGCACUUGCUCCAUUGCCUGGCCCACGAGCAACAGGCUCAGAGGCCGGGCUUUCCCCGGAGCUAGUGCUCCUUCUGCCACUGGUGCCUGGGUGCGUCUGGACAGCCUGCGAGUGGGCCGGUGCGUCCCGCCAGUGCGUGCUCUGCAGCCUGACAAAGCUCGGCAAUUGCAAUAAAUUCAACUAUUGGGCCAGGUCCAGGACCUCCUGUAUAAAGCAGGCAUCCUCCAACUUGAUGAAUGUGAGUCUGGAACAAAAUUAAAAGGGGCAUACAUGGAGCUAUAAAAAUGUCAAUAUGGUCUGUGAAACCUGAAAGGCCUGGGAGCCUCUGAUCUGUUGGAUAGCUUUACUUGAAUAAACCAGUCCAGCACAUUAUUGCAGUAUCAUCAAUUUGGAAAAAAAGAUGAGGGAACACCACCGAGCUAGAGUUUUCUUUCUGAGAAAAAGAGCUUGAUGAAAUUCAGAGCCAACUCUUUCAGCAAGAGGAUUGUUUGUUCACUGCUUGGCUGCAGGUGGACGUGUGAUUGUGAAGACUUCAGAGGGACACUGUGAUCCUCCCUCUGCCUCAGAGAGCCCCAGUCCAGCUUCUGCCUGAUGUUUGCAGAGGGGACCGAAGAGCUUCCAGUUCUCACAUCUCUGUCUGCAAACAGCAGUACUUCCUACCACUUGUGGGUUUUCAUCGCUCCCCUGUACCCUAUUAGCUUGGUGUAUAAAUAGACUCAUGGGUGUGCAAAGGAAAUAAUCACAAUCUGAGGGGGCCCAGCAGAGUCUCUGAGUUAAAACAAGCAGAGGGUGGGGGAGAGAGAGAAGUGACAGGAGAGAGAGAGAGUGGAGGGGGAGAAAGAGUGGAGAGGAAAAGAGGAGAGGGGAGGGGAGGAGAAGAGAGGAGGGGGAAGGGAAGGGAAGGGAAAAGAAAAUAAAGAGGAGGAGGGAGGGAAGAGAAAAUUAGGGAGAGAGAAGAGAAUCAGAAUAGGAAAGCUUCUAGAAUGAUGAUAAAACGGUUACAAGAAUGACUAUAAGAAUGACUACGACAAAAAUGAUUUUUAAUAGCUUUAUAGAGACUUCCUGAAACUUAAAAAUCUGGUAAGUUAAAAAUUUAGAAACUGAGUGGAUGAAUUAAGGAGAGAUUAGUCAGCAUUGAGAUCAGCCUGGAGGGCCAAGUGAAAGACACAUUUCAAAACACAGCAAAAAUACAAAGAGAAUCAAAUCGUGAGGAGAGGGCUAAGAGGUUUGGGGCACAGCAUCAGGAAUUGUAAAAUGUGGAGAACAAGGAUCCUACAAAGGAGAAAAAGGAACCGGUAGAAGGAAACAUAAUAAUCAAAAUAACAGUAGGGAAAAAUCACACUGGCUGGAAAAAAGAAAAAAAGACUUGUGUAUUCAGACUGAAAGUGCCCAGGCAGGAUUGAUUUCUGUAGCUGAGGGCUGGAGGUGAGAGGGAGAGAGAGAAAACAGGCGGGUGGCACUGGCUUUUCAUUCUGCUCCCUGUCAUACCCCUUCAGGAAGUACGUAGUGCUCUUGAUGUGUCAUGGAGGAACCUUGAUAUUUCCCGAUAAUGCCAUGACGGUCUCUCCUUAAAUUUCUCAUGUGACAUAUAAGCCCUUGUUGUGUUGGCUUCCACAUCAACUAUCAUUACGUCAUGGAUGAAAAGGUUGUGGAUAAGCAUGGCUGCCAUGUAAGAGAGUGGGUCCUGGUAUGUGAGUUAUUUUGAGCUGUGGGUUUGGAGAUACAAAAUUGGCUUGAAAACUGGGUUUGGUGUUGGGAAAUGAAGAGGGUGAAUUUCUCUGCAAUUAGGACAAAUUUGGCAAAUCGCAAAUAGUCUGGAAAGGAGGCGUGAGAUUGUACGUAGCCGGGGUUUGGUGUAGUGUGAAGUAUCUGAUGAAAACUUCCACAAGGAAAUGAUCCAGAGAUGAUAAUAAAGAAAGGCGUCUAAUGUCUAAUGCUCUUGGAAUUGUGUUUCUGUGCCAUAAACUCUUCAGGGCAUAAACUCUUCCCUCAUAGUAAGUUAAAUCUACUAUUAUUAGGAAUACCACUCUAUGUAUUUGAAGCAGAAAGAGGUUUCCUACACAAACGUGGGUGCUUAGAUAAUAAUUGGAGGGGCUAAAGGAAGAAAUCUAGGUUGCAUUUCCAGAAAUGUCUUUAGGAAGAGUGGAUCGUGGUCCUACUAGGUGACAAUCGUCUCUAAAGCCUCCAUUGCAGCCUUGCU